rnacentral:rRNA from 1 species
ACGCGCGGAACCUUACCAGCCCUUGACAUGGGCGUCGUACCCUGGGGAGACCUGGGGGUCGGUUCGGCCGGACGCCACACAGGUGCUGCAUGGCUGUCGUCAGCUCGUGUCGUGAGAUGUUGGGUUAAGUCCCCGCAACGAGCGCAACCCUCGUCUUCAGUUGCCAUCGGGUAGGGCCGGGCACUCUGAAGAAACUGCCGGUGACAAGCCGGAGGAAGGUGGGGAUGACGUCAAGUCCUCAUGGCCCUUA